CGCGGCCUAUCAGCUUGUUGGUGGGGUGAUGGCCCACCAAGGCGACGACGGGUAGCCGGCCUGAGAGGGCGACCGGCCACACUGGGACUGAGACACGGCCCAGACUCCUACGGGAGGCAGCAGUGGGGAAUAUUGCGCAAUGGGCGGAAGCCUGACGCAGCGACGCCGCGUGGGGGAUGACGGCCUUCGGGUUGUAAACCUCUUUCGCCAGGGACGAAGCGCAAGUGACGGUACCUGGAUAAGAAGCACCGGCCAACUACGUGCCAGCAGCCGCGGUAAUACGUAGGGUGCGAGCGUUGUCCGGAAUUAUUGGGCGUAAAGAGCUCGUAGGCGGUCUGUCGCGUCGGUCGUGAAAACUUGGGGCUUAACCCUGAGCUUGCGGUCGAUACGGGCAUGACUGGAGUUCGGCAGGGGAGACUGGAAUUCCUGGUGUAGCGGUGAAAUGCGCAGAUAUCAGGAGGAACACCGGUGGCGAAGGCGGGUCUCUGGGCCGAUACUGACGCUGAGGAGCGAAAGCGUGGGGAGCGAACAGGAUUAGAUACCCUGGUAGUCCACGCCGUAAACGGUGGGCGCUAGGUGUGGGGGCCAUUCCACGGUCUCUGUGCCGCAGCUAACGCAUUAAGCGCCCCGCCUGGGGAGUCGG
rnacentral:rRNA from 1 species